GGGUGGUUAGCUCAGUUGGAAGAGCGCAGCCUUCGCAAGGCUGAGGUCGGCGGUUCGAGCCCGCUACCAUCCA
rnacentral:tRNA from 1 species